rnacentral:rRNA from 1 species
CCAGACCGCCAGCUAAGGUCCCAAAGUCAUGGUUAAGUGGGAAACGAUGUGGGAAGGCCCAGACAGCCAGGAUGUUGGCUUAGAAGCAGCCAUCAUUUAAAGAAAGCGUAAUAGCUCACUGGUCGAGUCGGCCUGCGCGGAAGAUGUAACGGGGCUAAACCAUGCACCGAAGCUGCGGCAGCGACACUAUGUGUUGUUGGGUAGGGGAGCGUUCUGUAAGCC